UGGGGAAUAUUGCACAAUGGGCGCAAGCCUGAUGCAGCCAUGCCGCGUGUGUGAAGAAGGCCUUCGGGUUGUAAAGCACUUUCAGUCGUGAGGAAGGUAGUGUAGUUAAUAGCUGCAUUAUUUGACGUUAGCGACAGAAGAAGCACCGGCUAACUCCGUGCCAGCAGCCGCGGUAAUACGGAGGGUGCGAGCGUUAAUCGGAAUUACUGGGCGUAAAGCGCAUGCAGGUGGUUUGUUAAGUCAGAUGUGAAAGCCCGGGGCUCAACCUCGGAAUAGCAUUUGAAACUGGCAGACUAGAGUACUGUAGAGGGGGUGAGAAGUUUCAGGUGUAGCGGUGAAAUGCGUAGAGAUCUGAAGGAAUACCGGUGGCGAAGGCGGCCCCCUGCAGCAGAUACUGACACUCAGAUGCGAAAAGCGUGGGGAGCAAACAGGAUUAGAUACCCUGGUAGUCCACGCCGUAAACGAUGUCUACUUGGAGGUUGUGGCCUUGAGCCGUGGCUUUCGGAGCUAACGCGUUAAGUAGACCGCCUGGGAGUACGGUCGCAAGAUUAAAAGCUCAAAUGAA
rnacentral:rRNA from 1 species